rnacentral:rRNA from 1 species
GGGUAGCGGAACACGUACACAACCUUCCUUUGAGUGGGGGAUAGCCCAGAGAAAUUUGGAUUAAUACCCCGUAAGAUUAUUGAAUGGCAUCAUUUAGUAAUUAAAGCUCCGGCGCUUGGAGAUGGGUGUGCGUCUGAUUAGGUAGUUGGUGAGGGUAACGGCCCACCAAGCCUUCGAUCAGUAACUGGUGUGAGAGCACGACCAGUCACACGGGCACUGAGACACGGGCCCG